rnacentral:lncRNA from 1 species
CUGACCGGCAGGUGGCGGAGGCGGAAUCUCUGGUCCACACGCUGGACCGCUGGUCGGUGGUGGAAAGGAUGGUGGUGCCCGCCAGAACACCCGAAGGGAGGUCGCGUUCGGCAGAGGGACCCUGCGGCACCUGACAGGUGGGCCCUGCUCCUUGGCUCUCUUCCUCCUGGAGCAGGAACGGUGGGGCUCUCGCCGUCUGGGCCGAGUAGAGGCGUCCUCACGGGAACUUGGAUCGGACGUCCAAAACGCCUCCGUGCCCCGAUCGCAACCUGAACUGUGCCCAGUGGGGCCGUCGGGGCAAUUCAGAGUCCGGUGGAAACCGGCCCCGGGACCCCAGCCCAGCCCUCCCCGCAGACAGGGUGCUGUGUGUGAACCCUGCCUUCCAGGGACCCCCUGGGGUGUCACACUUCAGAGCAGCGAGCCCUGCGGAUACGCUGAGGGGGUGCUCACCGCUCGGCUCUGUCACCGCAGGUCAUGGAGCCAUUCAGACCCCGUGGGGUCGUGUCACCUGCGUGUGCAAGACCCACGACCCCCAAAGGGACCCCGGUCCUCCCCUCCCCUGCCUCACACACCCGACUUCCCAAAUACACACUCAGGGAGUCGAGGGGUACCCGGUGACCACAGCCAGCCUGAGCCCAGGGUCGGCCCCACGACAGACCCCAUGGAGCCCUGACGUCCGACCGAACCUUCUCUUUCCGCAGAGAAAAUCAGAGCGUGCCAGAAAACACCUCGGUCUUUCUGAAUGUGGAGAGGAUGGCCCCGCCCACCCAAAGGACACGGGCGUCUCAGGGCGAUUCCACGCUCGGGGCGGCGGGUGAAGUCGGGUCGGACGGAGGAGGCCCCGGGAUCAAUCGCGGACGCCAUCUCGGCGGCCCCCUUCACCCGAGACACCGCUGCAGAUGCCCUCACUCCCUCCCUCCGUUUCCAGAAAGAACUGGAGGCCGCCUGGGGCGUGCAGGUGUUUGACCGAUUCACCGUCGUUCUUUCCAUUUUCCGCUGCAACGCCCGGACGAAGGAGGCCCGGCUGCAGGUCGCGCUGGCUGAGCUCCCCCUUCUCAGAGUUCUCAUCUCACCCUCACGUCUGUGUCCUGUCACCUGGUGCGCUCCCCCUAGAUGGGCACGGACGUCUCACCCUGUCUACUGAGACGCCCCCUUUCCACGGCAGGUCCCACCUGAGCAGCACCGCCCGCCUGGAUGGACGGGGAGGAGGCUCACGCUACAUCAUGGGGUCAGGUAACGUGAGGUCUUGUCACCACGUGCUCAGAAGGGGUUAUGUCACGGCAGCCACCCUUAGGAAGGGGACAGGCAGCGCUGAAAGAUCCCAGUGGGGCUGCAUGUGACCUCGUGCAUGGUCCCAUUCACACAAACUAGGAUAUCUACGUGGUCUGCUGGGGUGGCUGCAAUGAAGGACCACAAGCCAGAGCCUUAAAACCUCAGGAAUCUACUC